rnacentral:rRNA from 1 species
GAUGAACGCUAGCGGGAGGCCUAACACAUGCAAGCCGAGCGGUAUUGUUUCUUCGGCAAUGAGAGAGCGGCGUACGGGUGCGUAACACGUGUGCAACCUGCCUUUAUCUGGGGGAUAGCCUUUCGAAAGGAAGAUUAAUACUCCAUAAUAUAUUGAACGGCAUCGUUUAAUAUUGAAAGCUCCGGCGGAUAGAGAUGGGCACGCGCAAGAUUAGCUAGUUGGUGAGGUAACGGCUCACCAAGGCGAUGAUCUUUAGGGGGCCUGAGAGGGUGAUCCCCCACACUGGUACUGAGACACGGACCAGACUCCUACGGGAGGCAGCAGUGAGGAAUAUUGGGCAAUGGGUGCAAGCCUGAACCAGCCAUCCCGCGUGAAGGACGACUGCCCUAUGGGUUGUAAACUUCUUUUGUAUAGGGAUAAACCUACCCUCGAGAGGGUAGCUGAAGGUACUAUACGAAUAAGCACCGGCUAACUCCGUG